UACGAAGGGGGCUAGCGUUGUUCGGAAUUACUGGGCGUAAAGCGCACGUAGGCGGUUCGUUAUGUCGGAUGUGAAAGCCCUCGGCUUAACCGGGGAAGUGCAUCCGAAACUGGCGAGCUUGAGUACUAAAGAGGGUCGCGGAAUUCCCGGUGUAGAGGUGAAAUUCGUAGAUAUCGGGAGGAACACCAGCGGCGAAGGCGGCGACCUGGGUAGAUACUGACGCUGAGGUGCGAAAGCGUGGGGAGCAAACAGG
rnacentral:rRNA from 1 species